GUGGCGGCAAUGGCAGUAAGAAAGGGGGGCCAGGGGAACAUGGAUCCCAAGGACGUGAGCACGACAAAGAGGGAAAGGGAGGACACAUGAAACGGCCCGAUGGCAGUGGGAGGGCUGGUCAUCAGGGUGAUCAUGGUCAUCAUGAUCAUCACGGUGGUCACGGUGGUCACGGUGGUCACUGUGGUCAGGGGCAUGGUGGUCAAGGUGGCCACAGUGGUUGUGGCGGUCACAGUUGAAUGAUGAAGAAACUCUCAAUACACCGUUCUGAUUGUAAAGAAUAAAAUCCAUCUCUAAUAAACGAAUACAGA